rnacentral:rRNA from 1 species
GACGAACGCUGGCGGCGUGCCUAAUACAUGCAAGUAGAACGCUGAAGAGAGGAGCUUGCUCUUCUUGGAUGAGUUGCGAACGGGUGAGUAACGCGUAGGUAACCUGCCUUGUAGCGGGGGAUAACUAUUGGAAACGAUAGCUAAUACCGCAUAACAAUAGGUGACACAUGUCAUUUAUUUGAAAGGGGCAAUUGCUCCACUACAAGAUGGACCUGCGUUGUAUUAGCUAGUAGGUGAGGUAACGACUCACCUAGGCGACGAUACAUAGCCGACCUGAGAGGGUGAUCGGCCACACUGGGACUGAGACACGGCCCAGACUCCUACGGGAGGCAGCAGUAGGGAAUCUUCGGCAAUGGGGGCAACCCUGACCGAGCAACGCCGCGUGAGUGAAGAAGGUUGUCGGAUCGUAAAGCUCUGUUGUAAGUCAAGAACGAGUGUGAGAGUGGAAAGUUCACACUGUGACGGUAGCUUACCAGAAAGGGACGGCUAACUACGUG